GGGAGACCUGCAGAGAGUGUGGGUGCUAGAGCCUUCUGCAGGGCUCAGGACACAUUCCCCAACACACCCAGGGCCAAUAAUUUGCACUGGGAUACAGAGAGGAGGCUCGGGGCCUCUGUCAACAGAUUGCCAUCCACUUAGAUGAGUAAAUGGUGCUGGCCCCGUGGUGUGGUGACAUCUGUCUGUCUGUCUGGUCUAGCAUCCAGCACAGUCCUGGGCACAUGAAUUGGUGCUGAUGCUGCUGAAGGAGUGAAUGCAGGCCAGAAGGAAGGAGUGCUGGGGAAGAAGUGAGCCAUGGAGCAGGCAGGAACCACGGACAGAGGCCUCCCAGUUCACUCGGGGACAUAUCCGCAGAUGUGAGAACUCAGAGAGAUGUUCAAGUUUCCUAAGAGGGCUUCAAUCAUGGCUCACAGACUACUAAUUUCCAGUUUCUUCUCUACCAGUCUGGAUGCCCAUGGUGAACUUUAGAGAUAUCCAUCAGCUCCAUCAAUUCCCUCAACUACAUCUACCUAGCUUUUGAGCCCAGAAGAACCCAAUCAUGUGUGUUCUCCUCAGCUCCCAGGCUGCUGAGCAAUGCUGGAGAAAAAUCACAAAACUAUACAGUUUGGUAUCUCUCCAGAAUUAUGGUUUCCAGCUUGAGUUGGAAAUUCAGAAUUACUUCAAAAUGUUUAAAUUUGUUUCUGGUCAGUUUCCUCCUUCAUUUCCCAGUUUCAUUUAUCACUCUAUUUAACUUGUUACCCAUCGCUGUCUGCUAUUAACCUUGCCUCCUUUUACACGAGAAAACAGAGGCCAUCAAAUGGCAUUUCCCAUCACUCCAUCACUCCACCUCUGUCAAUGAAUCCACCAGUAACAUCUCAGAGAUCCUUCUGUCUAGCACUGAUGAUCUUAUUGUAUCAGUUACUCCUUCUUCCUUUUGUAUUUUCAAUGCUCCUAUUGGCCACCAACAUGCUUUAGCUGUUCUCAUCUAAAGAAACAAUAACAACCACAAUAAACUAACAAACAAUAAACCAUCUUUAACAGACCUUACCUUUUCCUCUUUUGCGCCACCUUCAAGCUUCCUAAACUCAGAUUUAUUCCUCAAUCCAUUACAAUCUGGUUUCUAAUUAAACAAUUUUUUGCCAGCAUCACCAAAAACUUCUGAAUUGCUAGUCUCCAAGGUCCUUUCUUCAACCUCAUUGUUUUCUUUCUUUUAAAAGUCAAGUUCACUGAAGUAUAAUUUACGUACAAUAAAAUUCGCCCUUUUAAUACUCUUUUACCAUCUAAUAAGUUUUGCCUUGUAUGUUGGUUCCCUGAGACCUGUAAAACAACUCCCAAAUCCCAAACCCCUUUGCUUCAUACACAAAUCCCUUUGGAAUGUCUCAGCAGAUAUAACACAGGUUCAAGUUCUUUCUUCAGUCAUCAGAGUAACAGAGGUUGAAGAUGCAAUCAAAUAAGUGCCAACUCUUGCUGCUCCUGUUUCAAACAAGGAAAUUUAGAUAAUUGUUAUACACAUUUCUGCAAAUAAAAUAUUCCAGUGCUUACAUCAAUCCUUAGUUGUUAGGAUUAAAUAUUCACUACUUACAGUUUCCAACACAAUUUUUUUUUAAAACAUGGCCAUUUCUUUUUUUUUUUCUUUUUUUAUCUUUUUUUGAGACAGAUUCUUGCUCUGUCGCCCAGGCUGGAGUGCAAUGCCACGAUCUUGGCUCACUGCAACCUCCGUCUCCCAGGUUCAAGCGAUUCUCUGGCCUCAGCCUCCCGAGUAGCUGGGACUAUAGGCAUGCACCGUCAUGUCCAACUAAUUUUUGUAUUUUUA
rnacentral:lncRNA from 10 species